rnacentral:ribozyme from 1 species
AAAAAGAGAGGAAAAGAGAGGAGAGGGGGGGAGAGAGGAAAAGAAAAAAUUCUCUUUUUUUUUUUUGUCUUGUUUUUUUUUUUUUUUUUUUUUUUUUUUUUUUUUUUUUUUUU